rnacentral:lncRNA from 1 species
UGUGUUUCCGGGAAGGAGAGGCAGUAGUUGAAAGAUCCUAGAGAGAAACGUCUGGAAGGCUUUAGGGCUAGACUGAGGUCCUUUGGGGCCGGUCGGAGAAACACGCGCCUCAGGCUGAUUAAGGCCACGUUAUUUUGAGACUUCAUUAGCAAGGAGGCGGUGCCAAAGCCGGGAAUUGUGGCGGGGGCGAGCGCUCACCGCUGCCUUUGGUCCUCGCAGAAACUCGCUACGCAUGCGUGGCCAACGGCUUCCAAAGAAGCCGCCAAAAGCCCUUGGCCACCUACCGCGUCUGCGCAUUGGGAGGCGGAAGUGGGCGGGACCUCAGCGCGGCCGCCUUUGCAUCAUCUAGCCACGCCCCUCUUGAUCACACCCUCUUUCCGCAGGACAUUCCCCCUCCGCAGCCAGCUGCUGCCCACAUGGGCCUCCCUCGCGGGCGGCCAGUGGGCGCCUCUCCUGCAGGCAGGGUGUGCCCGACGCCUGCGGUUUCCUGUGGGAGGAAACGGCUCGCGGACGCUCAGCUCAGCUCUUAUCCUCAGAGGCACGGAAGGGGGAGAUCCCGCCACCUCUCUCGCUUCCCAAUUCUCGCCUUCCACAGAGGCCCACCUACCCUCACCCCAAAAACACCCUCCAGAGUACCUAAGUCCAGCUCUGAUCCAACCCAGGGAACCUGACUUGGAGUGCGAGGGCUGUUUCUCAGGGCUCUUUUCAAUUUACGUCUGCCUCCUCCGUGAAGCCCUACUCCUCCCAAGACCUGGGGCGGGGCUGUACUCCCAGAGGAGCACAUGACACUCUCCUCCAACCCAUAAGUUUUCCCUCAGUGACCUAGACUUUUAAACUUCCUUGAGAAUUCAGUCCCAGUCUCCAUCCUCAUGAAUUUAAGUUUGGGAUUCCUUAUUUUCCUCCCCAAAAUAUUCUCAAUUUUGGAUUCCAGACUUUAGCCUUGGGACCCAAUGGACCCAAAAAUUUGCUCUUUCACUGGGCGUGGUGGCGCACACCUAUAAUCCAGCGACUUGGAGACUGAGGCAGAAAGAUCACAAGUUCAAAGCCAGCUCAGCAACUCAGCAAGGCUCUAAGCAACUGUCUCAAAAAAAAAAAUUAAAAGGGCUGGGAUGUAGCUCAGUGGUUAAGCACCCAUAAAAAUAAAACAAUUUACUCUGUCGCUGGACCCUGAAUUUUUCAGGGUCUGCCUGAAUCCACUCAGGACCCAGGGCCUGAUGUAAGUAGCAGGACAUACAGUAACAGUGCUCACUGUGUGCUCAGCAUUUCUCUGAUGUAUUUACUAUCAUCCCUAUUUACAGGUGAAGAAACUGAGGCAUGGAGGGGUUAUAGUAACUGCUCAGAAUCACACAAUGAGUAAAGCAGCUUGGAUUUGGAUCCAGCCACUCUGGCUCUAAAGUCUGUGUUAUAAUGGUACCCCAGCUUCUGGGUCUUCAGAUACCCACCCAAGCACUGAAUUGUAAGACUCUCAUCUCCUCAGGGAGCCCAAAUCAACACACCCAGCUCUGGCCCCAUCUGAUACCAGACAUGUCAGCAUCCAUUCCCCAACUUUCAAUUCAUUAGGACCCUGACACUUGGUCCCCUUCAAAGAGAUCCAGGUCCACAGUAGCAAUCACCCCCACACACCCUAAUUCAGUAUCCGAACAGUAGACAAUAAUAAUAGUUAACAUUAAGUCCCUGGUGCCAGAGUUCUGUUAAAGCCCUCUAGUGGCUUCCCACUGCACUUAGAAUAAAAUACAAACUCCUCCCUUGGUCUUCAAGGGUACCCUUUGAUUCCCUUCCCACCAUUCCCUCUGGCUCCCUUUGCUCCAGCCACACUGGCCCUUCUGUCUGUUGCCCAAACAACUGGAGCUUGUUCUUAAAGCCUUUGUACUUCUGCCUAGCACUCAAAUGAUUUCUGUCUUUGGGUCUCAGAGUAAAUGUCACCUCCUCCAAGAUGCCUUCCCUGAUUACCUGUUUCAGAGAGCCUCCCCUCAUCCAGUCAUUAUCUCCAUUGCUCAAUUUCCUUCAAAGCACUUAUCACUAUCAAAUUUGUCUUCCUCACUGGUAUGUUUCUUUUUAUUGCCCAUCUCCCUCUACUAGAAGACAAGCUCCACACUAUUCAUGUCUAAUUUAUUUAUUAUUGAUUUCUGCUUCACAGGAAAUGUUCAAUAAACGUUUGGUGAAGGAAGACGCUUCUCCAGUGUGUCAGUGUACUGGCAUUACCUUAUUCAUUCAGAACUAGAAGAAUUACUGUCAUCAGUUUAUUAGCUUGCUGUCAGCAUGAUGAUUCCCACUACACAGAUUAGGAAAGUGAGGCUCAGAGAAAUGAAAUAAGUGGCCAAGAUUACCCAGUCAGGAAAUGAGGACACUGGGAUUCUUAACUUCCCCCCCACCCCCUGCAGAGUUUAACAGGGGCUCCUCUGACCCUCACCACAGAGCCAAGUCCACCAGUCCCAUGCCCAAUCCCAGUCAUAGGAAUCUGCCUCCUCCCAGGUCUCCUGCCCUCCCAUCAUCCAGCCCCAAAGUCCAUCAAGGACACAGGACGACGGACCCCAGGACAAAACUCAGAGUCCAGGAGGCCUGAGAAUCGGACCCUCCCACCCUGAUGUCUGCCCCAAGGGCCU